AGGUCCUGCCUGCCCUGUGACCAUGAGUUUAACGGCCGCGGUAUUUUGACCGUGCAAAGGUAGCGCAAUCACUUGUCUUUUAAAUGAAGACCUGUAUGAAUGGCACGACGAGGGCUUAACUGUCUCCUUUUUCCAGUCAAUGAAAUUGAUCUCCCCGUGCAGAAGCGGGGAUAAAAACAUUAGACGAGAAGACCCUAUGGAGCUUUAGACACCAGGACAGUCCAUGUCAAACACCCCUAUUUAAAGGACUGAACCAAUUGGGCCCUGUUCUAAUGUCUUUGGUUGGGGCGACCACGGGGAAACACAAAACCCCCAUGUGGACCAGGAAUACUUUUCCUACAACUAAGAGUUACAACUCUAAUAAACAGAACUUCUGACCAGAUAUGAUCCGGCAAUGCUGAUCAACGGACCAAGUUACCCUAGGGAUAACAGCGCAAUCCCCUCUAAGAGCCCAUAUCGACGAGGGGGUUUACGACCUCGAUGUUGGAUCAGGACAUCCUAAUGGUGCAACCGCUAUUAAGGGUUCGUUUGUUCAACGAUUAAAGUCCUACGUGA
rnacentral:rRNA from 1 species